UACGGGGGGGGGCAAGCGUUGUUCGGAAUUACUGGGCGUAAAGGGCUCGUAGGUGGCCAACUAAGUCAGACGUGAAACCCUCGGCUUAACCGGGGAACUGCGUCUGAUACUGGAUGGCUUGAGUUUGGGAGAGGGACGCGGAAUUCCAGGUGUAGCGGUGAAAUGCGUAGAUAUCUGGAGGAACACCGGUGGCGAAGGCGGCGUCCUGGACCAAUACUGACACUGAUGAGCGAAAGCCAGGGGAGCAAACGGG
rnacentral:rRNA from 1 species